rnacentral:rRNA from 1 species
AUUGAACGCUGGCGGCAGGCCUAACACAUGCAAGUCGAGCGCGAGGCGGACGGGUGAGAGAAAUCUGUGAAACUUCCCGAUGGAGGGGGGUAACUCCUGGAAACGGUAGCUCAUACCGCCUACCAUCUGAGAUGCCCAGAUGUGAUUAGCUAGUAGGUGGGGUAACGGCUCACCGAGGCGACGAUCCCUAGCUGGUCUGAGAGGAGGACCAGCCACACUGGAACUGAGACACGGCCCAGACUCCUACGGGAGGCAGCAGUGGGGAAGAUUGCACAAUGGGCGCAAGCCUGAUGCAGCCAUGCCGCGUGUAUGAAGAAGGCCUUCGGGUUGUAAAGUACUUUCAGCGGGGAGGCGUUACCCGCAGAAGAAGCACCGGCUAACUCCGUGCCAGCAGCCGCGGUAAUAC